rnacentral:rRNA from 1 species
UACGUAGGGUGCAAGCGUUGUCCGGAAUUAUUGGGCGUAAAGAGCUCGUAGGCGGUCUGUCGCGUCGGCUGUGAAAACUCGGGGCUCAACCCCGAGCCUGCAGCCGAUACGGGCAGACUAGAGUUCGGUAGGGGAGACUGGAAUUCCUGGUGUAGCGGUGAAAUGCGCAGAUAUCAGGAGGAACACCGGUGGCGAAGGCGGGUCUCUGGGCCGUAACUGACGCUGAGGAGCGAAAGCGUGGGGAGCGAACAGG